UACGGAGGGGGCUAGCGUUGUUCGGAAUUACUGGGCGUAAAGCGCGCGUAGGCGGCUUUGUAAGUUAGAGGUGAAAGCCCGGAGCUCAACCUCCGGAAUUGCCUUUAAGACUGCAUCGCUAGAAUCAUGGAGAGGUUAGUGGAAUUCCGAGUGUAGAGGUGAAAUUCGUAGAUAUUCGGAAGAACACCAGUGGCGAAGGCGACUAACUGGACAUGUAUUGACGCGUGAGGUGCGAAAGCGUGGGGAGCAAACAGG
rnacentral:rRNA from 1 species